CUAAAAUCUGAAACAUACAAAUUAAUCAAAAUUUAUCAAAAAAACGAAUGUACACAAAAUUGAAAGGCAUGAACAGGCGCAACAAUAAAGUUGUGUUAAACAUAUCUUGUGUCUUCACAAACCUUCACCUAUACAUAUGGCUUAUGUUGAAUAAGCAAACACACAGCAAUACGCAUAGUCAAAAACCAAUUUUAAAAGGAAAC
rnacentral:lncRNA from 1 species